UGGGGAAUCUUCCGCAAUGGACGAAAGUCUGACGGAGCAACGCCGCGUGAGUGAAGAAGGCCCUUGGGUCGUAAAGCUCUGUUAUUAGGGAAGAACGAAUCAUGUGUAAAUAAUGCAUGAUAGUGACGGUACCUAAGGAGGAAGCCACGGCUAACUACGUGCCAGCAGCCGCGGUAAUACGUAGGUGGCAAGCGUUGUCCGGAAUUAUUGGGCGUAAAGCGCGCGCAGGUGGGAUAAUAAGUCUUUUGUAAAAGUGCGGGGCUCAACCCCGUAACGCGACGGAUACUGUUAUUCUUGAGUGCAGGAGAGGAAAGCGGAAUUCCCAGUGUAGCGGUGAAAUGCGUAGAUAUUGGGAGGAACACCAGUGGCGAAGGCGGCUUUCUGGACUGUGUCUGACACUGAGGCGCGAAAGCUAGGGGAGCGAACG
rnacentral:rRNA from 1 species